rnacentral:lncRNA from 1 species
AAACAAACAAACGAACGAGAUUUUCUGCCCCAGUUUCACUAGGAAAAUUUCGUUAAUUAUUCACCAGGAAGUUCAUAAAAUUGAUGAAAGAGGAUAUACAUAUUCAGUUCAGGGCUGGAGCCCUAACACCGGCUAGUUGGGGAGAGGUUCGGUUUGGGGUUUGAAAACCCUAAUGCCGAACAAAGGAAGAAUUCAAUUUAGGGUUUAAAACCCUAAUGCUGAUUGCAUGGAAAAGCUCAGUUUAGGGUUUAAAACCCUAAUGCUGGCUGGAAGAAAAAGUUCAGUUUAGGGUUUAAAACCCUAAUGCUGACUGCAUGGAAAAGCUCAGUUUAGAGUUUAAAACUUUAAUGCUGGCUGAAAGGAAAAAGUUCAGUUUAGGGUUUAAAACCCUAAUGCUGACUAAAGGAAAAUUCAGUUUAGGGUUUAAAACCCUAAUGCUGAUUGCAUGGAAAAGCUCAGUUUAGAGUUUAAAACUCUAAUGCUGACUGAAAGGAAAAAGUUCAGUUUAGGGUUUAAAACCCUAAUGCUGAUUGCAUGGAAAAUCUCAGUUUAGAGUUUAAAACUCUAAUGCUGGCUAAAAGGAAAAAGUUCAGUUUAAGGUUUAAAACCCUAAUGCUGACUAAAGGAAAAUUCAGUUUAGGGUUUAAAACCCUAAUGCUGAUUGCAUGGAAAAGCUCAGUUUAGAGUUUAAAACUCUAAUGCUGGCUAAAAGGAAAAAGUUCAGUUUAGGGUUUAAAACCCUAAUGCUGAUUGCAUGGAAAAGCCCAGUUUAGAGUUUAAAACUCUAAUGCUGGCUGAAAGGAAAAAGUUCAGUUUAGGGUUUUAGAACCCUAAUGCUGACUAAAAGGAAAAUUCAGUUUAGGGUUUAAAACCCUAAUGCUGAUUGCAUGGAAAAGCUCAGUUUAGAGUUUAAAACUCUAAUGCUGGCUGAAAGGAAAAAAGUUCAGUUUAGGGUUUUAGAACCCUAAUGCUGACUAAAAGGAAAAUUCAAUUUAGGGUUUAAAACCCUAAUGCUGAUUGGCUAGGGGCAAAGUUCGAUAAUACUAAACGACCUCUUUUUUUUUUUU